rnacentral:rRNA from 1 species
UACGUAGGUGGCGAGCGUUGUCCGGAUUACUGGGCGUAAAGAGCGCGCAGGCGGCUGGCCAAGUCCGAUGUGAAAGCUCCCGGCUUAACUGGGAAAUUGCAUCGGAAACUGAUCGGCUGGAAGGUGGGAGAGGGUAGCGGAAUUCCCGGUGUAGUGGUGAAAUGCGUAGAUAUCGGGAGGAACACCAGUGGCGAAAGCGGCUACCUGGCCCAUUCUUGACGCUGAGGCG